UACGGAGGGGGCUAGCGUUGUUCGGAAUUACUGGGCGUAAAGCGCACGUAGGCGGCUUUGUAAGUUAGAGGUGAAAGCCCAGGGCUUAACCCUGGAAUUGCCUUUAAGACUGCAUCGCUAGAAUCGUGGAGAGGUGAGUGGAAUUCCGAGUGUAGAGGUGAAAUUCGUAGAUAUCAGGAGGAAUACCGGUGGCGAAGGCGGCUAUCUGGCCCAACACUGACACUCAGACCCGAAAGCGUGGGGAUCAAACAGG
rnacentral:rRNA from 1 species